rnacentral:rRNA from 1 species
GACGAACGCUGGCGGCGUGCUUAACACAUGCAAGUCGAACGGAAAGGCCCUGCUUUUGUGGGGUGCUCGAGUGGCGAACGGGUGAGUAACACGUGAGUAACCUGCCCUUGACUUUGGGAUAACUUCAGGAAACUGGGGCUAAUACCGGAUAGGAGCCCCUGCUGCAUGGUGGGGGUGGGAAAGUUUCGGCGGUUGGGGAUGGACUCGCGGCUUAUCAGCUUGUUGGUGGGGUAGUGGCUUACCAAGGCUUUGACGGGUAGCCGGCCUGAGAGGGUGACCGGCCACAUUGGGACUGAGAUACGGCCCAGACUCCUACGGGAGGCAGCAGUGGGGAAUAUUGCACAAUGGGCGGAAGCCUGAUGCAGCAACGCCGCGUGCGGGAUGACGGCCUUCGGGUUGUAAACCGCUUUCGCCUGUGACGAAGCGUGAGUGACGGUAAUGGGUAAAGAAGCACCGGCUAACUACGUG